UCAAAUUGUGAAAAUUUCAUUAUGACAUAAUUAUUACAUAAUUAAUUAUUAUGUAAUUAGUCGCUAUAUUGUGAUGUCCACACUUGAAUGAAUUUAGCGUCUUUGUUUUUCAUAGCAUCUCAAAAUAUUUUAUAGAUUCUUGUACAACACAGCUUGACCUCCAAAACUGUGUCUCAGAUUUCCAAAAACAUCAAUAGAACAAAUUUUAUACCCAAUUGAACUUAGUGGUCUCUAAUGAAUUGAUGUUGCAAACUUCAUUGAAGAUUUAUGAGAGAAUGAAAUACAAUAGGAAAAAUCUGAGACACAGUUUUGGAGGUCAAACUGUGUUGUGCAAGAAUCUAUAACUUUUUUAAGGAUGCUACGAAGAACAAAGAAG
rnacentral:lncRNA from 1 species